rnacentral:tRNA from 1 species
GUUUGUGGCUCAGUGGUAGAGUGCUCGCCUAGCAUGCAUGAGGCACUGUGUUUGAUCCUCAGCAUCACA